AGCCCGAGGCAGGGCUCGAACUCAGGGACCACGAGAUCGUGACCUGAGCCAAAGUUGGACGCUUAACCAACUGAGCCACCCAGGCGCCCCGAAACAAACAAUAUUUAGACCAGCAACGCACCCAAUGAAAAAUACUGACCUUUCUCCUAUCUCUGGUAGUUAGGGGUGGCCAAGCACGUGUGUGAGUAUGUAUUUACGUGUGCAUGUAUACGUGUAAGAAAUGAAAUGUGUGUGUGUGAAAUGAAAUCAUGACCUAUAGGCUGAAGUCCCUGGGAAGGCUUGGAAACAAGCCUUGGGAGGAGGUGGUUUUGCUUUGAUUGCCUGCAGGAAGGAAUACUUGGCAGUGGAGGAGACAUCGUGAGUCCAGGAGGCCAAACACCACACAAGGACUAUGAAGGAAAACGCUGCAAGGAGCCAGCAUGUAGUCACCCCAGUUUUGGACUACUGAAUUAUGGAUUUCUUGUUAUGGGAGGAGAACGGCCCCUUUUCAGUUAAGUUCUUUGGUGAGGUCUCUAUUCCAGGUAGGCAAGUGCAAUCCUAACUGACCCCAGUGUCUUGGCCCCAGCCAUAGGUCUAGCGGUGACAGAGUCAGCAUGAAAGCACAGACUUGUCUCCCCCCAAAUGCCAUGUCCUCUCUGGGCUACCGUGUACCUAUAAGGCUUUUGCCUCUGCAAACGCCUUCUCAUGUUCACCCCCUGCCUAUUGGGAAAGUGUUCAGGGGCUCAUAGAACUCUGGACUUGGCACUGUAUUUCUAUGUGUAUUCUGCACAAUAUUUGGUUUUUCCAUGCUCCAUUCAGAUCUGACUGCACAACUAAGCCACGGACCUUCGUGAGCCGGCUCCCCAGUGCAGGUUCCUAGAACUUAACAUUCUCUUCAGAGAACAGAACUGUAGAGCUUGUUACUAAGCCACUCUGGCUUUAUUUUUCUUACAAGAAAUAAGUCCUUGUAGCCCUAGGAAGCCAGCUUGACCACACUCAGGAGAUUGGAAGCCCAACCCCACAUCGUACCCUGCUGACGGCUUCCUGCUGAUUUUUCCUUUCAUGUAUGGAUUUGCUUAUUCUUGACCUCCUCCCCACCCCCAAAAAACCUUUUUUCUGACAGACACACUGUCUGAUAGCUUUUCUGUUACUGCUGACAUUUAGAAUAAAAUGCCCUGAUCUGUCAGCUGCUGCAUCUGGGGCUUGCCCCUACUGGCCUCACAUUCAGUAUGUGGGUCUGGGAUGUUCCCGGGCUGUCCCAGCUGGCCAGAAUUAACUAAGUUGAGCCUACCUGUGUCCUGAGUACCACACACACACACACACACACACACACACACACUGUAGAAGAAUUAUUCAGGUGAGCCACUUUGUGGCAUUUCCCAUAUGGCAACAUGACAUGAAUUAUCAGUGACUAAUGUUCUUCUCACAAAAUCACUGCUAAAGGCACAGAUUCCUGCUUCAGGGACAUACAAGAGACACUGCUUUAGGAGAACAAAGUACUGCCGUAGAACAACAGUGCAUCACCCACUACACCUUCAAAGAACAGAAAGCUCUAAAUUGUCUUUCUCUCAAAGGAGAAACUCACCCUCAGGAAAAAGCAUAUGAGAAAGUGCAAUUCCUUUACCACAAGCUUCUUUCAGCUCUGGUUCUCGCUAUAGUGUGCCCGAGGUAAGCACAGAAGAUAGACUCAAACAUAUUCAAAACUCAGUCUUUCUUUCAAUUCUUUGAAACAUUACAGCAUUGUUGCAAAUGUAUAUAAGAGGAAGCAAACUCUGUUUUGGUUAUCUAUCUAUGUAACAAACCAUCUCAACACUUAGAACCUUAAAACAGCGACUGUUUUGAUUUUCUCUUACAAUUCUGUGGGUUGGCUGGAAUCAGGCAUGUGGUUCUUCUGCCCGCCCCCGCCUCCCGAUGCCUGCUGGGGCUGCAGUCAUCCCAGGGCUUAACUGACUGGUUGGUCCAAGAUGGUUCAUUCACAACUCUGGUGCCUUGGCAGGGACAGAUGGAAGGCUGGCACCAGCCAGGAUUCUGGGACAGCUGAGCCACUUUCUCACCCUAUGUAGUCUCAGGUCUAAUCUCUUUCCAUAUGACCUCUCCAUGUGGUAUUUCCAGCAGGGUAACUGGACUUCUUAAAUGGCAGAUUCCUCACAAAAGAAGAAACUUCCAGGCUUCCUUAAGUCUUAGGCUCAGUAACUGACACAGUGUCACUUCCAUUUCAUUGUAUGAGUUCCUGAGUCUCAGGGCCAGUCCAGAGUCAAUAUGGGACUAGACUGCAUAGCAGCAUGAGAGGCAUGGUCUAUUGAGAGCCAUCUUGGGAAAGUGACUACUGCAUUGAUAUUCACUCUAUGGAAUGUGGAAAUGACACUUGAUAUGUUAAAUCAUGCUUUGUGGAAGAAAACGUGUUGACUUAUUAGCUCUGUGAAUCAUCAAGAUGCAUAGAUAUUGGGAGCAUCUAGAAGCUACACAUAUCCAGUGAAUCUAAGUGUUUCAAAAACAUGAUCAGGACCUCUAGGGGGGAAAAUCACAUUUUAUUCAAUGGUUACAUACACAAGAAAUAAAGCUCGGUAAAUAGAUGGGUAAAUUUAAUAUUCUCAGUAUAGCAAGUUAGUAAUAUCAUGUAUUGGAUAUUUAUUAAGAAUAGGCACUGGGCCAUCAUUAUUUAUACAUGAUUUUACUUAAUCUUUACAAAUACUCUAUGGGGCGAGUAUUAUUACCUCAAAUUUCCACAUGAGAAACUAAAGUUCCAUGAGAUUUUGUAACAUGUAAGAUUGAACAUGUAGUAAUUGGAUGAGUCAAGAUGUAUACCCAAGUUGACCUGAUAUUGAAACCCUUGCGUUUUUAAACUCUAUCAUUUUACUUGUUUUGUCUUUGCUCACUGUUUUCUUAAAUUGUUACAGAAUAAUCGUCCUUUUAAGUGGAAACAAGAGCCACAUCUCAUAUUCCCAUCUCUAAAGAUUUAGAACCCAUUUCCUACUUAGACAGCCUGCUGAAGUCAAGAUUUUAAAAUCCAGUUUUUAUCUUGGCAUGAUAGUCCAGACCAUUUCCCAGCGCUCUCAUAUCUACAAACAUAUGCCUCUGUGCUUAAACUUGAACUUCAUCCAAACCCCAAGGUUAUUAGUGAGUAAAAUCCUCCUUCUGGUUUUAUCUAGGUAUCUGGAAAGUUUCCCUUUGGCACUAGAGCCGUGAAUCACAACUUCUCAUUCGUGCCAUCUAAGGACAGAGAAAUGGAAUACCUGUGCUUGCAUUUUGCGGUAACGUGAUUUUGGAAACGUCUCACCAAAAAUCAGAACUCGAGAAGAGAAUAAACAUACCGAUUACUUGCAUGGCCGGUUCCACGUCUGUUGUGGCCUCUUCCAACAAUGACAGCAGCUUGGCUGAUAUCUGAUGCACGGAUUCAAUGUUGCUAAACAAGCUAUCCACGUCCAGCCGAUCAAUCUGAAGAAACACAAACACUGAGCACCAGCUGAUGGAGAGAGACGCACUGUAUUUAGGACAUUUUCUCCUGCUAAACAGCUAACUUGUGUCUUCCUGGACUGAAAAGACAUGAAUCAGACGUAGAGAAAGAAAUCAUGGAGGAGGUACAAUAGAGCAAAGAUAGUCUUCUCACCAAGAGGAAAGACACGGACCAGAUGAUUUCCCAAAGUUCUCUUCCACCCUAACUUGUACAUGUAUAAUAUUUAUUUACGUUGCCUCAGGUUUCUCAGCAUGGUUUGCAGAUCGUUCCCCUGGUUACAUAAACACUGUCUAUAUUAAUUUAUAAAUUUUGACACUAACUGGUGACAAGCGGUUUGUAUGCAAAGACUUUGGUAUUUAAACGGUUAGAACGGAAGCGAGGACACGAAGGAGCUAACGAACAUCGAAAAGGUGGCAAAUACACUCAUGGCAUAAAUUAACUACCUUGGCAUUCAUAGAUGUUUCGUCUGUAUUCCUGAGCAUCUAUUUGAAGUUUUUUGGUUUUUUUUUAGAGAGAGAGA